rnacentral:rRNA from 1 species
GACAGAGGGUGCAAACGUUGUUCGGAAUUACUGGGCGUAAAGCGCGUGUAGGCGGCUAUGCAAGUCGGAUGUGAAAGCCCUCGGCUCAACCGGGGAAGUGCACCCGAAACUGCAAAGCUAGAGUCUCGGAGAGGAUCGUGGAAUUCUCGGUGUAGAGGUGAAAUUCGUAGAUAUCAGGAGGAACACCGGUGGCGAAGGCGGCUCUCUGGACGGUGACUGACGCUGAGACGCGAAAGCGUGGGGAGCAAACAGG